rnacentral:rRNA from 1 species
UACGUAGGGUGCAGGCGUUAAUCGGAAUUACUGGGCGUAAAGCGCUCGCAGGCGGUCCGAUGCGUCGUGCGUGAAAGCCCCCGGCUCAACUGGGGAGGGUCACGCGAUACUGGUCGACUCGAAGGCAGGAGAGGGUAGUGGAAUUCCCGGUGUAGUGGUGAAAUGCGUAGAUAUCGGGAGGAACACCAGUGGCGAAGGCGACUACCUGGCCUGUUCUUGACGCUGAGGCGCGAAAGCUAGGGGAGCAAACGGG